rnacentral:rRNA from 1 species
GACGAACGCUGGCGGCGUGCUUAACACAUGCAAGUCGAACGGUAAGGCCCUUCGGGGUACACGAGUGGCGAACGGGUGAGUAACACGUGGGUGAUCUGCCCUGCACUUCGGGAUAAGCCUGGGAAACUGGGUCUAAUACCGGAUAGGACCACUGCCUGCAUGGGUGGUGGUGGAAAGCUUUUGCGGUGUGGGAUGGGCCCGCGGCCUAUCAGCUUGUUGGUGGGGUGAUGGCCUACCAAGGCGACGACGGGUAGCCGGCCUGCGAGGGUGACCGGCCACACUGUGACUGGGAUACGGCCCAGACUCCUACGGGAGGCAGCAGUGGGGAAUAUUGCACAAUGGGCGCAAGCCUGAUGCAGCGACGCCGCGUGAGGGAUGACGGCCUUCGGGUUGUUAACCUCUUUCAGCACCGACGAAGCGCAAGUGACGGUAGGUGCAGAAGAAGGACCGGCCAACUACGUGCCAGCCGCCGCCGUAAUAC